GUGGGGAAUUUUGGACAAUGGGCGCAAGCCUGAUCCAGCAAUGCCGCGUGUAGGAAGAAGGCCUUCGGGUUGUAAACUGCUUUUGUACGGAACGAAACGGUCCUGGUUAAUACCUGGGGCUAAUGACGGUACCGUAAGAAUAAGCACCGGCUAACUACGUGCCAGCAGCCGCGGUAAUACGUAGGGUGCAAGCGUUAAUCGGAAUUACUGGGCGUAAAGCGUGCGCAGGCGGUUUUGUAAGACAGGCGUGAAAUCCCCGGGCUCAACCUGGGAAUUGCGCUUGUGACUGCAAGGCUGGAGUGCGGCAGAGGGGGAUGGAAUUCCGCGUGUAGCAGUGAAAUGCGUAGAUAUGCGGAGGAACACCGAUGGCGAAGGCAGUCCCCUGGGCCUGUACUGACGCUCAUGCACGAAAGCGUGGGGAGCAAACAGGAUUAGAAACCCUUGUAGUCC
rnacentral:rRNA from 1 species